UACGUAGGGUGCGAGCGUUAAUCGGAAUUACUGGGCGUAAAGCGUGCGCAGGCGGUUUUGUAAGCCGGAUGUGAAAUCCCCGGGCUUAACCUGGGAAUGGCAUUCGGGACUGCAAGGCUGGAGUGCGGCAGAGGAGACUGGAAUUCCUGGUGUAGCAGUGAAAUGCGUAGAUAUCAGGAGGAACACCGAUGGCGAAGGCAGGUCUCUGGGCUGACACUGACGCUCAUGCACGAAAGCGUGGGGAG
rnacentral:rRNA from 1 species